rnacentral:rRNA from 1 species
UACAUGGAGAGCUUUCUGUGAAGCCGGGCCGUAAGGCAUCCGGUGGAGAGAUCGGAAGCGAGAAUGUUGACAUGAGUAGCGACAAACAGGGUGAGAAACCCUGUCGCCGAAAGUCCAAGGGUUCCUGCUUAAAGCUAAUCUGAGCAGGGUGAGCCGGCCCCUAAGGCGAGGCCGAAAGGCGUAGUCGAUGGGAACCAGGUUAAUAUUCCUGGGCCAGUGGGAUGUGACGGAUCGCAGAUGUAGUUUGCCCUUAUCGGAUUGGGUGGGCUGCUGAGCGGUUCCUGGAAAUAGCCCCACAUCAGACCGUACCCUAAACCGACACAGGUGGACUGGUAGAGAAUACCAAGGCGCUUGAGAGAACCACGUCAAAGGAACUCGGCAAAAUGCUCCCGUAAGUUCGCGAGAAGGGAGCCCCAUAUGCAGGCAACUGUGUGUGGGGGGCACAAACCAGGGGGUGGCGACUGUUUACUUAAAACACAGGGCUCUGCGAAGCCGUAAGGCGACGUAUAGGGUCUGACGCCUGCCCGGUGCUGGAAGGUUAAAAGGAGGGGUGCAAGCUCUGAAUUGAAGCCCCAGUAAACGGCGGCCGUAACUAUAACGGUCCUAAGGUAGCGAAAUUCCUUGUCGGGUAAGUUCCGACCUGCACGAAUGGCGUAACGAUCUCCCCGCUGUCUCUGACGUGGACUCAGCGAAAUUGAACUGUGUGUCAAGAUGCACACUACCCGCGGUUAGACGGAAAGACCCCAUGAACCUUUACUCCAGCUUUGCACUGGCAACAGGAAUGCGAUGCGCAGGAUAGGUGGUAGGCUUUGAAGCGGGGACCCUGGUCUUCGUGGAGCCACCCUUGAGAUACCACCCUUCGCCUUCUUGUUGUCUAACCGCGGUCCGUCAUCCGGAUCCGGGACCCUGCAUGGUGGGGAGUUUGACUGGGGCGGUCGCCUCCCAAAGUGUAACGGAGGCGCGCGAAGGUUGGCUCAGACCGGUCGGAAAUCGGUCGUUGAGUGCAAUGGCAGAAGCCAGCCUGACUGCAAGACUGACAAGUCGAGCAGAGACGAAAGUCGGCCAUAGUGAUCCGGUGGUCCCAAGUGGGAGGGCCAUCGCUCAACGGAUAAAAGGUACUCUGGGGAUAACAGGCUGAUGAUGCCCAAGAGUCCAUAUCGACGGCAUCGUUUGGCACCUCGAUGUCGGCUCAUCUCAUCCUGGGGCUGGAGCAGGUCCCAAGGGUAUGGCUGUACGCCAUUUAAAGAGGUACGUGAGCUGGGUUUAGAACGUCGUGAGACAGUUCGGUCCCUAUCUGCCGUGGGUGCAGGAGACUUGAGAAGAGUCGACCCUAGUACGAGAGGACCGGGUUGAACGAACCACUGGUGGACCAGUUAUCGUGCCAACGGUAGUGCUGGGUAGCUAUGUUCGGACAGGAUAACCGCUGAAGGCAUCUAAGCGGGAAGCCCCCUUCAAAACAAGGUCUCCCUUGAGAGCCGUGGAAGACCACCACGUCGAUAGGCCAGAGGUGUAAGUGCAGCAAUGCAUUCAGCUGACUGGUACUAAUUGCUCGAUUGGCUUGAUC